AAUUAUACUGCAUCAGAACUGUCAAUUGGGCGAGUUGGUGUGCUUCCAUUUUGAACGAAUAUCAGCGCGACAAAAAGCGAGGACGAGAAUAGAAAAGACAGACUACAGCGCUGACUCGCAACUAAAUUUUAUUCCGAAAAGAACCAGAAUAAAUAACAUCAGUAAAACCUAAGGAAAGAAACGACCAUCGUGCAUGCUCAACAACGAAAGGCUAUGUGGCUGAUGAGACGUGGACGUGACGCAAGCUAUCCGUGAGCGAUCUUCAGUUCCAGUCGUACGCAUGCUUUGAAUAAAGUGCUGCUACUUGCUCUUCAAGAAUGAAGUUAUUGAGUAACGUCAUUGCAGCAUUUAUAACAGAAUAAUGAAAACUACGCAAGACAAAAUCGGCGAACAUAUGCUU
rnacentral:lncRNA from 1 species